GAUCCCUGCCCCCAGCCCAGGCAGCCGGGCAUGAGCUACUUGUCCUUAGGGGAGGCCUGCUACUGGGAGCCCGAGAAGGCAGGCACAGAAUCCUGGCAUUUGAGUUUCAAAACCACAAUAAGGAAGAAGACAGAAAUUGUUGGACAAGUCCUUGAUCGCUACUGCAGACUACAGAAAGACUCCAUGGGCUGAGGCUGGGAGGUGGGCACAGAGCUGCUGUCAUUGGAGUGAGCACUGUUGUCACCAGCAUCAGGAAAUAUAACAGCUGAGGAGAAUGCCCACCUAGAUCAGAUUUUAAAGGCCUAAGGACACCAAAAAGCCAUCACAAGAAGACUGAAGUCCAGAUCCUCAGGAAAGUCAUUAAGGGUUGCUGGCAAUAUGAAUAGUGUGAACCUGGAGCUGUCAGAAGUCACUAUUCAGAAUCUGAGAAUGAAGCCUAUAAAACGGAAAGUGGACCCAAGAAAUGAAGAGACUCAUGGCCCAGGUGAUAUAAGUUGAGCUCCCAGACACUGCUGUGCCUACACUUUUCAGCCACAUGAACCUACAGACUGCCUUUGAUGCUUAAGUUAUUUGAAUUGAGUCUUCUGUUGCUUGCAACCCAGAGGGUCCUGACUAAUACAUACAAUGUAGAAGAACCCUGAUCUGACCUGGUCUUCAAACCUCUCUGGCUUCCAUUUUUUUCAACUCUAAGAUGACAAAAUUAGAUAUCACUUGAUUGCUAAAGUUCUUGCAGGAGUGCUUAGUGCAUGCAUAUUUAAGAUACUGUAUAUCUACUUAAUAAAAACCCAAACACAUCAUUGCAUUUCUGGUUUAUUCAUACUCACUCAAACACAGAUAUUACACUCAUCUUAAAAUCAGUACUUCUAUUGGCUUUCAGCUAUGGUUAACCAAAUGACUGAAUCUUAUAUCACAAGUGAUUAUGCAAGUUGAUUACCAUUUUCAGAAACUCAUUUUAUCUUUAGAGAUUUUCUGUAAGUUAAACUAUAAAACUGUACUUUUAAUGAGCAGUUACUUCUGAAUAUAUUGGGCAAAAGCAUUAAGCCAUGCAUAAAAAUUGCUUCUGAUGUAAAUAAAAAUGGUUUUGGGGUUCAUCUUAAAACAAUGGCCUGCACAUCUAAGAUGUCUUACUUGCCAAAAAAUAAAAUGAUGCAAUGAUUACAGUUAAU
rnacentral:lncRNA from 10 species